rnacentral:rRNA from 1 species
AUUGAACGCUGGCGGCAGGCCUAACACAUGCAAGUCGAACGGUAGCACAGAGAGCUUGCUCUCGGGUGACGAGUGGCGGACGGGUGAGUAACGUCUGGGAAACUGCCCGAUGGAGGGAGAUAACUACUGGAAACGGUAGCUAAUACCGCAUAACGUCGCAAGACCAAAGUGGGGGACCUUCGGGCCUCACACCAUCGGAUGUGCCCAGAUGGGAUUAGCUAGUAGGUGGGGUAAUGGCUCACCUAGGCGACGAUCCCUAGCUGGUCUGAGAGGAUGACCAGCCACACUGGAACUGAGACACGGUCCAGACUCCUACGGGAGGCAGCAGUGGGGAAUAUUGCACAAUGGGCGCAAGCCUGAUGCAGCCAUGCCGCGUGUAUGAAGAAGGCCUUCGGGUUGUAAAGUACUUUCAGCGGGGAGGAAGGCGGUGAAGUUAAUAGCUUAACCGAUUGACGUUACCCGCAGAAGAAGCACCGGCUAACUCCGUGCCAGCCGCCGCCGUAA